UGUUAUUCCACUUGUCUGUCUCUCUGUAUCCAUGCCAGCGUCCUCUAAGUGUGAUACAGUGGAGAGUUAACACUACUAAGUUUAAGAUAAUCUCUCUUAUUACAAAGCUUCUCUCUCUCUCUCUCUCUCUCUCUCUCUCUCUACCUGCAAGUGUUCAGAGAAAUAGACUGCCUUUAGUGUAUCUCAAAGCAAAACACAAAAUAUGCUUCCAUAAGUCUAUAAUAUUCUCAGUUAAUGUUAUGUAGUUGUUCUCUCACUCCUCAAGCAUUUUCAUUCAGUUUUCAUGCAGUAAGAAAUGUACCAGUCAGUAAGAAAUAUAUUGGUGUUUCUUACUAAAACAAAGAAAAUCACAAAAAAUGUUGAUGGUAUUCUUACUUUAUACAUUGCCUCUCUCUCUCUCUCUCUCUCUCUCUCUCUCUCUCUCUCUCUCCUACUACCAUUCAGCUUUCAUAAAGUGGGAAAUAUACAUACAUUCCUUUAUACAACAAAGCAAAACAUACAUUCACUUAGCCUAUAAAAUUCUCUCUCUCUCUCUCUCUCUGUCUAGCUUUUAUACAGUAAGAAAUAUAUAGACAUUCUUGUAACUUUUUUUCUUUUUUGGCUAUUUUAAACAUUGUACUAUAAGUUUCACACAUCCUGGUUUACAUUUGCACUCCUUGUCUCUGUCUUGACGCACCAGCCAAGCGCACACACACCAGAUGCUACACAGUCCCUUCCUUACACUCGUCAUUCAUGAGUCUAUGCUGAGGAGUCCUGCAUUAGAGGUAGAACAUUGUAAUCUCCUACCAAACUAUCAUAUACAUAUUUAAUCUCAUAAUGUCCUUUUCAGUGCCAAACUAUCAAUUAUUUCUGCUUUAAUCCCCUCAGGUUAAAGACAAGUAACCUCAUUCAUUGGUCUUGCUUCCACUGCAUGACACUUCAUACUCUUCUGUCCCUUCCUCUAAUGGUGCUGUCCCUAACAAACACUACUAACACACA